AAUCUAAAGUGGUUGCUGUGGAGGACAGGGGUCAGUGGUGGAAGUGAGACUGAAAUGGACUCUGAAGUAAUAUCUGGACUUUGAAAUUGUUGCCUGUUCACUCUGGCUAGUCAUAUGCAGAAAACUGAAACUAGACCCCUUCCUGACACCUUAUAUAAAAAUUAACUCAAGAUGGAUUAAAGAUUUAAACGUAAGACCCAAAACCAGAAAAAUCCUAGAAGAAAACCUAGGCAAUACCAUUCAGGACAUAAGCAUGGGCAAAGACUUCAUGACUAAAACACCAAAAGCAAUGGCAGCAAAAGCCAAAAUUGACAAAAGGUUUCCUUAACGACAACAAAAAAGGGAGUAAUCCUACCUACUGUAAGAGUCAUGACUCUUGAUUGCAGCUGACAGAAGCUCAUGACAGCCUGGUUUAGAUAAAAGGGGAAAGGACGACUGGAAGAAUCUUGGAGUUGGGAAUAUGGCACAUAAUUGAAGGAAGAGCAAUAAAACUAUAAUUCUUCCCGUGGAGACUGGAGUUUCCAGGAUGUGAAAAUUACCUCUGCUUGGGCAGCUGCUCCCAACCCCAGCAACUUUGCUAUCUUAGAACGGAUCACCAGUGAAAGAGGGGAAGUUGCUACUGUGAUGAAUUCUGCCAUGUGGUACCAGACUGCUGCCCAGACCACAGUGUCCUCUGCAACCCUGGUAACUCACAUACAGGCCUGAUUCCACCUACAGCAAAGCUGGAUGCUAUGGUUGGCAGAGGCAAGCCCCUUGCCUGCACUUCAGGCCAAAGCCGGGAUGUGGCCUAGAUGGUUCCUAAGGUCCCUGACAGUCCUGAGAUCUUUCAUCUUGUCUAUUUCAGGUCAAAGCUUCUCAGAUGACCAAGAUGGUGCUGCCGAUGGUGUUGAGGACGGAGAACCCACCAAGCCC
rnacentral:lncRNA from 1 species